rnacentral:rRNA from 1 species
AUGGGGCUAAUCGAGGAGACGGUGACGAGCCUUACCAGGGCCGUGCUGAACAGGGCGAUCCACUACGCUGAGUCGGCCGUCGCAAAGGAGGCAGCUCUCCACCUCGGUAUCCAGCGCGACCAGACCUUCAUCGCCGACGAGCUUGAGAUGAUGCAGGGCUUCCUAAUGGCCGCGCAUGACGACCGUGACAGCCACAACAGGGUGGUGAAGAUCUGGGUGAAGCAAGUCCGCGACGUUGCCUACGACGUCGAGAACUGCCUCCAGGACUUCGCUGUUCGUGUGACGGUGAGGAGGUCCUGGUGGCGUUUCCCUCGCAAGCUGCUGCACCGGCGGCGCGUGGCCAAGAAGAUGAAGGAGCUCAGAGCCAAGGUUGAGGAUGCCAGCCAGAGGAACCUGCGCUACCACCUCAUCAAGGCCUCCAAGCCAAUCUCCGCUGAUGAGCAGUCGUUGGCCGUCGCCAGUGCAACCAUGUCUGACAUUGACGAAGUAAGGCGGCAGCAUGAAAAGGCAAAAGUGGGUCUCGUUCGGCUCAUCAGCAAGAAGGACAAUGACCUUAGAGUCAUUGCGGUGUCAGGGACAAAUGCUAUCGGUCUUGGAGAGACCUCCAUCGCCAAAAGAGCCUACGAAGAUCUCAAGAUACACAAGAAAUUCGAGUGUUUUGCCUGGAUCAGGUUGGUGCGACCCUUCAAUCCGACAAAGUUCUUGCAAAGCAUUGCCCGGCAGCUCUAUGUAGAUUAUCUUCAGCAGGCCAAGCAAACAGAGAAAAAUCCUGCAGAUGCCCAAGUUCUGAGGAAGAUGGGAAUGAUGAGUGAGGAGGAUUUGGCUAAUGAAUUCAAGACAUAUAUCAGUGAGAAGAGUUACCUGAUUGUGAUUGAUGACCUACACACCGUUGAAGAGUGGGAUCGCAUUAUAACAUGCUUCCCACAAAGCAAGAAAGGGGAAGCCGAAUCGUAG